rnacentral:rRNA from 1 species
AUUGAACGCUGGCGGCAUGCCUUACACAUGCAAGUCGAACGGCAGCACGGGUGCUUGCACCUGGUGGCGAGUGGCGAACGGGUGAGUAAUACAUCGGAACAUGUCCUGUAGUGGGGGAUAGCCCGGCGAAAGCCGGAUUAAUACCGCAUACGAUCCACGGAUGAAAGCGGGGGACCUUCGGGCCUCGCGCUAUAGGGUUGGCCGAUGGCUGAUUAGCUAGUUGGUGGGGUAAAGGCCUACCAAGGCGACGAUCAGUAGCUGGUCUGAGAGGACGACCAGCCACACUGGGACUGAGACACGGCCCAGACUCCUACGGGAGGCAGCAGUGGGGAAUUUUGGACAAUGGGCGAAAGCCUGAUCCAGCAAUGCCGCGUGUGAAGAAGGCCUUCGGGUUGUAAAGCACUUUUGUCCGGAAAGAAAUCCUUGGCUCUAAUACAGUCGGGGGAUGACGGUACCGGAAGAAUAAGCACCGGCUAACUACGUG